UAUAAGCAACUAUAUAUUUCAAGCAAAAUGACGUUUACAGUGUUUGCAUUAUAACACAACAUUUUUGCUGGAAUUUCUUCUUUCUUUUCCCCCUCUGGUACACUCUUUAGGUAUUCCUAGGACGCGGUGAGAGUUUUUAACGCAAGGUGAUUGGUUGCCUAAGGGUGACGGACAGUCCCACAGGCCCCGCCUCUUCGUGUUGUCGAGCGCACGCGGCGCUUUUCGCUCUUCACUCGCUGCUUGCGCGACUUCGGCGGCGCUCGCGAAACGGCGCAAAUGGCAACGAUCGCGUUCUCAGCGGCUUGGGCUCUCUUAUUAUGGAUAUCACACACAGCCUCGAGUGCACGGGUUUAUCCACCGAAUGAAGUGACUUUACUGGACUCGAGAACAGUGCAGGGUGAGCUGAAAUGGGUUUCCAGUCCAACAGAAGGAGGGUGGGAAGAAGUAAGCAUCAUGGACGAGAAGAACACCCCCAUCCGGACGUACCAAGUGUGCAACGUGAUGGAACCUAACCAGAACAACUGGCUUCGGACAGACUGGAUCGCACGUGGAGCGGCCCAGCGCAUUUACGUUGAGAUCAAGUUCACGCUGCGUGACUGCAACAGCUUGCCAGGUGUUUUGGGCACAUGCAAGGAGACGUUCAACCUCUACUACUACGAAUCCAACAAUGACAAAGAGCGAUACAUCCGUGAGAACCAGUUCAUCAAGAUUGACACAAUCGCCGCUGACGAGAGCUUUACGCAGGUGGAUAUUGGAGACCGUAUCAUGAAGCUCAACACAGAGGUGCGGGAUGUGGGCGUCUUGACACGCAAAGGCUUCUACUUGGCCUUCCAGGAUGUGGGGGCAUGCAUCGCCUUGGUGUCUGUGCGGAUUUUUUACAAGAAGUGCCCACUUACAGUACGCAACCUUGCUCAGUUUCCUGACACGACCACGGGUGCAGAUACAUCAUCGCUGGUGGAGGUCCGCGGCUCGUGUGUGGACAACUCAGAGGAGCGUGAAGUACCCAAGAUGUAUUGUGGUGCUGAUGGAGAAUGGCUGGUGCCAAUCGGAAGCUGUCUUUGUAACCCAGGAUUCGAGGAGCGAGCAGGAGCAUGCCAAGCCUGUAAGAUUGGCUACUACAGAGCGUUGGCCAGUGACGCCGGUUGCUCCAAAUGUCCUCUCCAUAGCUACUCGGUGCGCGAAGGCUCCACGUCAUGCACGUGCGACAAAGGAUAUUUCCGAUCCGAGACGGACCCCGCUUCCAUGCCCUGUACCCAGCCUCCGUCCUCCCCGCAGCACCUCAUCUCCAACGUCAACGAGACGUCGGUGAACUUGGAGUGGUCGGCGCCGGCGUUUUCAGGCGGAAGACAGGAUCUUACUUACAAUGUGGUGUGUAAACGGUGCGGCCCGGACGGACAGCGGUGCGAGCCGUGUGGUGUCGGCGUCCAUUACACGCCGCAGCAGCUCAGCUUGCGGAGCACACGCGUCUCCAUCAACGAGCUGCAGGCGCACACGAACUACACCUUCCAGGUGUGGGCUGUCAACGGCGUAUCGCCGCAGAGCCCCGGGCCUGACCAGGCAGCCUCAGUCACCGUCACCACCAACCAGGCCGCUCCCUCUCCAGUUUCGUCCAUCCAGGCCAAGGACAUCACCCGGCACGGCGUGUCACUGGCAUGGCAGCAGCCCGAGCGGCCCAACGGCGUCAUCCUGGAGUACGAGGUCAAAUACUACGAGAAGGAUCAGAACGAGCGCAGCUAUCGCAUCAUGAAGACGGCUUCCCGCAGCGCUGACAUUAAAGGCCUGAGUCCGCUCACCUCGUACGUGUUCCACGUACGAGCCCGUACUGCGGCCGGCUACGGAGAAUUCAGCGCUCCUUUCGAAUUCAUGACCAACUCAGUUCCUUCUCCUAUUAUCGGCGACGGAGCGAACUCCACGGUUCUUCUGGUCUCCGUUAUCGGCAGUGUGGUUCUGCUGCUGAUCUUCAUCGCUGUCUUCGUCAUCGGACGCCGGAGGAGUAAAUACAGCAAAGCCAAGCAGGACUCAGAUGAAGAGAAACACCUACACCCAGGGGUGCGGAUCUAUGUGGACCCUUUCACGUACGAGGACCCCAACCAGGCCGUGCGCGAAUUCGCCAAAGAGAUCGACGCCUCCUGCAUUAAGAUCGAAAAGGUCAUCGGCAUCGGUGAGUUCGGCGAAGUGUGUAGUGGGCGCUUGAAGACGCCAGGGAAACGAGAGAUCUGCGUGGCCAUCAAAACCCUGAAAGCUGGAUACACGGAGAAGCAAAGACGGGAUUUCCUGAGCGAGGCCAGCAUCAUGGGCCAGUUCGAUCACCCCAACAUCAUCCGCCUUGAGGGAGUCGUCACUAAAUGCAAACCUGUAAUGAUCAUCACCGAGUACAUGGAAAACGGCUCCCUCGAUGCCUUCCUGAGGAAAAACGACGGCCGCUUCACGGUCAUCCAGCUGGUUGGUAUCCUCCGAGGAAUUGCGUCGGGAAUGAAAUAUCUCUCAGACAUGAGCUAUGUCCACCGCGACCUAGCCGCCAGGAACAUUCUAGUCAACAGCAACCUGGUGUGUAAAGUGUCCGAUUUCGGUAUGUCUCGGGUGCUGGAGGAAGACCCGGAAGCAGCUUAUACAACACGGGAAAUAAUGGGAACCUAUCAAUCGCAGGGUGGAAAAAUCCCCAUUCGCUGGACAGCACCAGAGGCCAUCGCGUACAGGAAGUUCACUUCAGCCAGUGACGUGUGGAGCUACGGGAUCGUCAUGUGGGAGGUGAUGUCGUACGGCGAGCGGCCAUAUUGGGACAUGAGCAACCAGGAUGUCAUAAAAGCCAUUGAAGAGGGAUACAGGCUUCCCCCACCAAUGGAUUGUCCCAUUUCUCUUCACCAGCUCAUGCUGGACUGCUGGCAAAAAGAGCGAGCCGAGAGACCUAAAUUUAGCCAAAUCGUCAACAUGUUGGACAAAUUAAUCCGUAAUCCCAAUACGCUAAAGAGGACUGGAGGAGAAAUAGCAAGACCCAACACCACCCUUCUAGAGCCGAGCAGUCCAGAAUUCUCCUCUCCUCUGGGCACUGUGUCUGACUGGCUAACAGCCAUCAAUAUGGAGCGUUACCGUGACAACUUCACCGCCGCCGGCUACACCACCCCAGAGGCGGUAGUGCACAUGACGCAAGAAGACAUGACAAGGAUAGGCAUCUCGUCAGCCAUGCACCAGGACAAGAUUCUCAGCAGUGCGCAGGGAAUGCUGUCCCAGAUGCAGCAGAUACAGGACAGGAUGGUUCCAGUCUGAUCGGAAACUCUUACACUCUUACAGCUCAUUUAUUUCCCCCUUGUUUUUGUUUUGUUUCGUUUUUUUUUAGACAACUCCAUUUUUACCUCAUCCUCAUUUACGCACUUUAAAAAAAAAUUCGGAAAAAAAUAAAACAAGAACAAGGACGAAUGGCUAACGGCACUUUUUUCCCCCCUGGAUCACCUUUCUAUCGGAGGAUUCGUUUCCUUCCUUCCCUGGUGUUGUGAAACUACUUUCUUCACUAUGUCGUGCAUUUUGCUACACGAUGGAACUUUGACGGGGCAUGCUCUUUUUUUUCACCCUUUUUUUUUGUAUGUAUGUACGUAAAUGUAAAUAAGUAGAACUUUUUGGAUUCGUUCCACUUUGCCAUUUCAUCUUCCAGAUUGAAAAACUGUGGCUUUAAAGUAAAAAAAAAAGACAUUUUGAAGUUUUUUUUAUUAUUAUUCUGGGAUUUCUGGCUCCAUGUGAAGGCUUCUCCGCCCCUUUGAAAUGGAAUAUCUGUCUCCACUUGGCUGGCAAGUCAUGCGCGCCGAUGGAUUUGAGAACACUGCUCUGAGUUGAGAUCUCUCUUGCGUCUUUUUCUCUCCAGCUUGGUCUCUAUGGGUUGUUUUUGUUGUUGGGGUUUUUUUUUUUUCACUCUCACUCUCUCAACCCUGGCAGGCUGUGAAAUUCCCACUCACUGGAAGCUGGAUGGAAGUAAGGGUCACCUCGGCGUUUCUGCAUUGUAGCGACAUCCUUCAUCCCCUUAGCGAAAGCAAAGCAAAAAAAAAAGAGUUUUUUUACAGCUCUCCUCAAGUUUCCUCUCAACGCAGAAAAGCUUCCAGACACAAAUAAUAACAAGCUGAGAAGUGGCUAUGGAUAAUUUGCACAUCCCCCAAGAGCUUUGUUUUGUCUGCAACUAGUGACUAAAGGGAUGCUAGCAACAGAACACAUGCUAGCUGCUUAGCCUUAGCUGGAUGAACUCUACAGCUUCAUGUGCGUGUUUGUUGUUGUUGUUGUUAUUUUUCUGUGAAGGAUGACGCUUGCUCUGAGGAACACACAAAAACACACACUCAAAGAAGACAUAGAGAGUACACUAAGACAGAAGAGUUGCUGGAAAAGAAAACAGAAUCAUUUGCUAGCUUAUUAUUGUUUUUUUUUUUUUUAGCCACAAGGAAGUCACUGGAGUUUUUCGUUUAACGGUUCUGGAGUCAUAAGCCUUCACGAAUUCAGAUCGCUAAGCUAAAUUCAGACUCGGAGGAUUAGCAGCUAGCGCUAACGCUUCAGUUGUGGCUCUGGGAACUGGAAUACGGACACUUGAACCUUAAACUUACCACAGGAAUGUUUUUGGGUUUUGUUUUUUUGUUGAAAAAUAGGGAAAACUUGAUUCACAUUUCAUGAAAGCCAACGGUCUUGUUUGUCUGUUUAACAUGCAUUCCCAUUCAAAAAACAUUUUCUUCAUCACGUUUUGCAGUUGGAGCACCUGAUUGGAAAUAUGCAAGGAAUGUGGAGGAGUUGGAGAGCUAUAGAAUGUAUUGUGCCAAGUUUCUUAAAUGUAGUUUAAUUCUUGGGAAUCAAACUAACAAAUCAUGUUUUUUUGUUGUUGUUGUUGUUUUUGUUUUGUUUUGUUUUGUUUGCUCAGUUAAUCUAGUUGUGUAGAUUAACAAUGUGCUUAAUUUGCAAUUAUCUAUAUAAUGGCAUUGUUUACUUUCUUUAUUUGAAAAAAAAAAUGAAUUUAGGUACAUUUCAUUUAUUUAUGGUCCUUUUUUUAUCUAGUUUGUAAAUUGUAAAAUAGAAAUAUGAGAAAAAAUAAAUGACUGAUUGCCAAGUGUGACUUUUUAUUUUUAUUUUUCGUGGUUGAACUUACGUAUUUGGGCAUGACUUUACGUAUUUGAGUAACUAGCCAAAAAUUUAGCCUAGUUAUAUGUAAUAUUUUCAUAUAAAAAGUAACUUGUACUACUUCUCUGAAAGUGACACAUGCUACGUAGUUUGCUAAUCAAUGAAUCCGAAGUAAAUAUUAGCUAGAAUUUGACCCACUACCUAGCAGUUUACUGUUAGCUACUAGAAAUAAUGCUAGUUGAACCUGCCGUUAGCAAAGAAAACAGGCUAGCUUGGUUAAAUAUAGCUAGUUAAAGUUAGGAAAUAAAAAAAUGAAACUUACCUCAAUACUCUUUUCCAAAUUAGAUUUACAGUUCAUACCUUCCAAGGAGGUAAACGAGACACCAUUUUUAAACAUUUUAACAUUUUACUCCUCCUCAAGUUCAAACCGGCUGAAAAACAAAACAAAACAAUAGAACCCCUCAUAGAAUUUGUAAUGGUUAUAAUGGGAAUUUUAUUGGCUUUAAUGGAAACUGUAAUGGUCCCUGAGGAUCUCAACUGGUAAUUUGUUGCCUUCUGUUGGUGGCAUUUUAUGUCUAGUAGACACCAUUAAGGACCAAUAAUGGUAAUAGUACUGGUGUUAAUGGUUAGCUGAUGGUUUGUAAUGGUAUUUGUGUUUUGGGGGGGUUUUUCCCACUGAGUUAAGACUGCAGUCUGGUUGCUUACCCAUAGUGCUAGCUGCAUUGUGUAGCAUGAAAAGCUCAUGGUAGAUUGGAAUUUUUUUUUUGGAUUCUUGGACUUGAUUAAUUUGAUUGGAUUCUAAACUAAACAUUCUAUAGAUAUAUUGUGCACAGUUAUUAGCUGGAUGGAAGAAGUAGAGACUUUACAAGAACUUGAAAGGUCUCGCACCUAUGGGGCUGGGGGUGUGAGUCCCGCCUUCGCGCUGUGACUUUGCUUCAGGGGUUUUCCUCCGGGUACUCCGGUUUCCUCCCCAAGUCCGAAGACAUGCAUUGUAGGCUGAUUGGCAUUUCCAAAUUGUCUGUAGUGUGUGAAUAUGUGUGCGAUUGUCCUGUGAUGGGUUGGCCCCCCAUCCAAGGUGUCCCCUGCCUCGUGCCCAUAGUUCCCUGGGAUAGGCUCCAGGCUCCCCUGUGACCCUGUAUAGGAUAAGCGGUAUGGAAGAUGGAUGGAUGGAUGGAUGUGUUUAUUAUAUCGGAUUGUACGGUUCUAAUACCCAAUUUUCCAGCACUUUUCAAGACAUCCUAUUAGAUUUCUUCCUCUCCAACCCCAAGCAGUUUGGCAAGGAUAAGUACUACAUUAAAUUUGAAAGAAAAGAAAAGAAAAAAAAAACGAUGAAGAGGGCCGAUUCUCCCCUGAAGAACAAUCGUAACAAUCAAAUGACAUUACUGGUCUGCCUUUCGUCAGCUUUUUUCUUUCAUUCCAGCUCUGUUUCCCACCCCCUCAGCUUUUCCUGUGCUUUCUCCGCGCUGAAUGGGCCGUAAUACAGCCACCCUGGCACGUUUAAUCAGUAAACAUCUGUUUCCCCACAGCCUGCCAUGAUGGCUGAUUGUGUGAGAGGCCUUUGAUAAAUAAACGAAAGAAAAAAACCUCUAGAAAACGCAAUUUUCCG